GAUGAAGAACGUAGCGAAAUGCGAUAAGUAAUGUGAAUUGCAGAAUUCAGUGAAUCAUCGAAUCUUUGAACGCACAUUGCGCUCGCCAGUAUUCUGGCGAGCAUGCCUGUUCGAGCGUCAUUUCAACCAUCAAGCCCUAGGCUUGCGUUGGAGCCCUGCGGCUGCCGCAGGCUCCCAAAUCCAGUGGCGGGCUCGUCGUCGUACCGAGUGCAGUAAACAUCCUCGCUCAGGGAACGUGACGGGUUCUUGCCGUGAAACCCCCCACAUAUCAAGGUUGACCUCGGAUCAGGUAGGAAUACCCGCUGAACUUAAGCAUAUCAAUAAGCGGAGGA
rnacentral:misc_RNA from 1 species